rnacentral:rRNA from 1 species
GAUGAACGCUGGCGGCGUGCCUAACACAUGCAAGUGGAGCGACGAACCCGGACUUGUCCGGGGGCAAAGCCGCGAACGGGUGAGUAACACGUGGAUUAUCUGCCCCAAUGACCGGGACAACUCGAGGAAACUCGAGCUAAUACCGGAUGUGCUCUUCGGAGGAAAGGAAGCUUCGGCCUCCGCAUUGGGAUGAGUCCGCGGUGCAUUAGCUAGUUGGUGGGGGAAAGGCCCACCAAGGCGACGAUGCAUAGCUGGUCUGAGAGGACGAUCAGCCACACUGGAGCUGAGACACGGUCCAGACUCCUACGGGAGGCAGCGGUGGGGAAUCUUGCGCACUGCACGAAAGUGUGACGCAGCAACGCCGCGUGCGGGAAGAAGGUCUUCGGAUCGUAAACCGCUUUCAGUUGGGACGAGGGUUACACGGUGAAUAGCCGGCGUAACUGACGGUACCUUCAGAAGAAGCCCCGGCUAACUACGUGCCAGCCGCCGCAGUAA